ensembl:lncRNA
AUGCUACAGGUGCUUUUAAACAGAACUGAUGUUUUUGAGAAAGUUCUUGCUCCUUUUGAAAAUGCAAAUGGGAUCAACUCUUACAAAGACAGCACUAACUAUCGUGAGAAUGAUUUUUUGGUGGCAGGGACAUUUAGGAUUUUGCUUACCAUGUACACUGAUGAAUUUGAGAUUGCUAAUCCUCUUGGCACUUCAAAAAAGAAACACAAGAUGUUCGGCGUCUAUUGGGUUCUUGCUAAUCUUCCAUCUAAACACCGGUCAUCUCUUCAGGCAAUUCAGCUGGCACUUUUAUGCAAGGCUAGUGAAGUAAAACAAUAUGGAUAUGAGAAAGUCCUUCACCCUCUUGUACAAGACCUCAAAACUCUGGAGACACAUGGUGUCUUUUUGGAGCAAUUAGGGGAAUGUGUUAAGGGAACUGUUCUCAAUGUAUCUGCUGACAAUCUUGGUGCUCAUUCCUUGGCAGGAUUUCAAGAGAGCUUCAUCGUGGAACACCCUUGCCGCUUUUGCAUGGUGAAAAAGAGUGAAAUUCAACAGAAAGACGUACUGUCAGGAAGAUUUGAACCCAGGACAAAGGUGAAUCAUGACAGGCAAGUUGAGGAAGUUUUAAAAGACCAAAAUUUGGUAAAACAGUAUGGUGUAAAAGGCAGGUGUGUUUUAAAUGAGCUUGAUCAUUUUCACUCUGUCAGUGGCUUUCCACCUGACAUCAUGCAUGAUCUCUUGGAGGGUGUAAUACCAAUUGAAAUGGCACUGUGCCUCAAUGAUUUAAUCAACAAAAAGUACAUCACCCUUGAGUAUGUGAACAGAACAAUCAAACAAUUUCCAUACAAAUUCAUAGACAAGACCGAUCAACCUCAGGUCAUUCCAACUACAUUUGCCUCAAGAGGCACGAUUGGGGGCAACGGCCAUGAAAAUUGGGCACUUUUAAGACUUCUCCCACUAAUGAUUGGCUUCGAUAUCCCAGAAAAUGAUGCAACAUGGGAGAUUUUAAUGCUUUUGAAAGACAUUCUAGAACUGGCGACAUCCUUCAGAUUUACUGAUGAUACUAUUGAUUUUCUUGGGGCUAAAAUUUCAGAGCACAGAGGUUUGCUUUUAAAAGUAUNUGUUACCCAAAGCACUGUCCUUGUCACAUCUAAAGUGUGCAUUGAUGGGAUCAACUACAGUCCUGAUAUGGUUCUGUCUGCUGGUGCAACUUCAUGUCUGCCUGAUUUUAGGCAAAUUGUAAAAAUUGUCAUCAUCAACACUGAAAUUUUGUUUGUAUGCAAACAACAGACAGCGUGGUACAUUGAGCAUCUACGUUCCUAUGAACUGUGCAGCCAUGUAUCAGAAAUUACAGUCACAAAGCUGUUUGAAUUGAAUGACCCUUUUCCACUAUCACCCUACAAAAUUCAGGGCAGAACAUUUGUUACAGCAAAACAUUAUAUAUUUUGCUAA